rnacentral:miRNA from 1 species
UGAACUCACUAUGUAGCCCAGGCUGGCCUCGAGCUCAUGGAGAUCUUCCUGCCUCAGCCUCCUGAGUGCUGGAA